UACGUAGGGUCCGAGCGUUGUCCGGAAUUACUGGGCGUAAAGCGCACGUAGGCGGAUCGAUCAGUCAGGGGUGAAAUCCCAGGGCUCAACCCUGGAACUGCCUUUGAUACUGUCGAUCUGGAGUAUGGAAGAGGUGAGUGGAAUUCCGAGUGUAGAGGUGAAAUUCGUAGAUAUUCGGAGGAACACCAGUGGCGAAGGCGGCUCACUGGUCCAUUACUGACGCUGAGGUGCGAAAGCGUGGGGAGCAAACAGG
rnacentral:rRNA from 1 species